rnacentral:rRNA from 1 species
CAGCAGCCGCGGUAAUACAGAGGGUGCGAGCGUUAAUCGGAUUUACUGGGCGUAAAGCGUGCGUAGGCGGCUUCUUAAGUCGGAUGUGAAAUCCCUGAGCUUAACUUAGGAAUUGCAUUCGAUACUGGGAAGCUAGAGUAUGGGAGAGGAUGGUAGAAUUCCAGGUGUAGCAGUGAAAUGCGUAGAGAUCGGAAGGAACAUCUGUGGCGAAGGCGACUAUCUGGGCCAACACUGACACUGAGGCACGAAAGCGUGGGGAGCAAACAGGAUUAGAUACCCCUGUAGUCCCUGUCUCUUAUAC